GCGAGAGUGGCGGAACUGGUAGACGCGCAAGGUUUAGGUCCUUGUGGGGCAACCCGUGGGGGUUCGAGUCCCCCCUCUCGCACCA
rnacentral:tRNA from 1 species